rnacentral:rRNA from 1 species
UGGGGAAUUUUGGACAAUGGGCGAAAGCCUGAUCCAGCAAUGCCGCGUGUGUGAAGAAGGCCUUCGGGUUGUAAAGCACUUUUGUCCGGAAAGAAAUCCUUGGCUCUAAUACAGUCGGGGGAUGACGGUACCGGAAGAAUAAGCACCGGCUAACUACGUGCCAGCAGCCGCGGUAAUACGUAGGGUGCAAGCGUUAAUCGGAAUUACUGGGCGUAAAGCGUGCGCAGGCGGUUUGCUAAGACCGAUGUGAAAUCCCCGGGCUCAACCUGGGAACUGCAUUGGUGACUGGCAGGCUAGAGUAUGGCAGAGGGGGGUAGAAUUCCACGUGUAGCAGUGAAAUGCGUAGAGAUGUGGAGGAAUACCGAUGGCGAAGGCAGCCCCUGGGCCAAUACUGACGCUCAUGCACGAAAGCGUGGGGAGCAAACAGGAUUAGAUACCCUGGUAGUCCACGCCCUAAACGAUGUCAACUAGUUGUUGGGGAUUCAUUUCCUUAGUAACGUAGCUAACGCGUGAAGUUGACCGCCUGGGGAGUACGGUCGCAAGAUUAAAACUUAAUGAAUUGACGGGGUCAUAGCUGUUUCCU